rnacentral:rRNA from 1 species
UGACACGUAGGCACCAAGCGUUGUCCGGAUUUAUUGGGCGUAAAGAGCUCGUAGGCGGUUUGGUAAGUCGGGUGUGAAAACUCUGGGCUCAACCCAGAGAGGCCACUCGAUACUGCUAUGACUUGAGUACGGUAGGGGAGUGGGGAAUUUCUAGUGUAGCGGUGAAAUGCGCAGAUAUUAGAAGGAACACCAGUGGCGAAGGCGCCACUCUGGGCCGUAACUGACGCUGAGGAGCGAAAGCAUGGGUAGCAAACAGGAUUAGAUACCCUGGUAGUCCAUGCCGUAAACGUUGGGCACUAGGUGUGGGUCUCAACCAACGAGAUCCGCGCCGUCGCUAACGCAUUAAGUGCCCCGCCUGGGGAGUACGGUCGCAAGACUA